rfam:Brachypodium distachyon strain Bd21 chromosome 4, whole genome shotgun sequence.
UAUAUACUCACUCCGUCUCAUAUUAAGUGUCUCAAAUUUGCUCAAACAUGAAUGUAUCUAUACAUAAAAAGCGUUUAGAUACAUGUAAUAUUUCGACACUUAAUAUGGGACAGAGGAAGUAGAUU